rnacentral:rRNA from 1 species
AAUCAUUGGGCGUAAAGCGCCUGUAGGUUGUUUAAUAAGUCUGUUGUUAAAGACUGGGGCUUAACCCCAGGAAAGCAAUGGAAACUACUAGACUAGAGUAUGGUAGGGGUAAAGGGAAUUUCUAGUGUAGCGGUGAAAUGCGUAGAUAUUAGAAAGAACACCGGUGGCGAAAGCGCUUUACUGGACCAUUACUGACACUCAGAGGCGAAAGCUAGGGUAGCCAAAGGGAUUAGAUACCCCUGUAGUCCUAGCCGUAAACGAUGGAUACUAGAUGUUGCGCUUAUUGUGCAGUGUCGUAGCUAACGCGUUAAGUAUCCCGCCUGGGGAGUACGAUCGCAAGGUUGAAACUCAAAGGAAUUGACGGGGGCCCGCACAAGCGGUGGAGCAUGUGGUUUAAUUCGAUGCAACGCGAAGAACCUUACCAGGGCUUGACAUACUGCAAAUUUUCUUGAAAGAGAAAAGUGCCUUCGGGAAUGCAGAUACAGGUGGUGCAUGGCUGUCGUCAGCUCGUGUCGUGAGAUGUUGGGUUAAGUCCCGCAACGAGCGCAACCCUCGUUUUUAGUUGCCAUUUUAUGGGUUCUCUAGAAAGACUGCCGGUGACAAACCGGAGGAAGGUGGAGAUGACGUCAAGUCAGCAUGCCCCUUAUGCCCUGGGCUACACACGUGCUACAAUGGCUAAGACAAAGAGUCGCGAAUUCGCGAGAAUCAGCUAAUCUCAUAAACUUAGUCUAAGUUCAGAUUGUAGGCUGCAAC